rnacentral:rRNA from 1 species
AGAGAGAGACAUGCGCGCAUAUCAAUAAGCGGAGGAAAAGAAACUAACAAGGAUUCCCUUAGUAACGGCGAGUGAAGCGGGAAGAGCUCAAAUUUGAAAUCUUCAAGGUUUUACCUUGACGAAUUGUAGUUUAAAGAAGUGAUUUCUGCUGAAGUUUUGGUAAAAGUUCUUUGGAAUAGGACAUCAUAGAGGGUGAGAAUCCCGUAUUUGACCAUUAUUUUCAGCUUUGUGAUACACUUUCAAAGAGUCGGAUUGUUUGGGAAUGCAGUCCAAAAUGGGUGGUAAAUUUCAUCUAAAGCUAAAUAUUGGCGAGAGCCGAUAGCGAACAAGUACCGUGAGGGAAAGAUGAAAAGAACUUUGAAAAGAGAGUUAAACAGUACGUGAAAUUGUCAAAAGGGAAGCGUUUGACACCAGUGUUGUUCUCUCGAAAAUCAAUUAAAAAUGGCUCGAUUUUGUAUUGUUGAGACCUUAAAAGCUCACUGUACAUUUUUCGUGUCUUUUUUAAUGCACUUUUCGUUUAACAAGUCAACAUCAGUUUCUUUUGUUGUAAAAGGGUCAUUGAAGGUGGCUUUCUUUUCGGAGAAAGUGUUUAUAGCCUUUGGCCUCUGCAAUCGGAGAGACUGAGGUCUGCAGCGUAGACUCUUCGGGGUUAGAUACAUUUGUGCUAAGUUAUAGCUUUAUAUAGACAACUUGUUGACUAUAAUUAGUCUUGUAGCUUACUCGCUUAUGCUAUUUUACCUACGCUUAGGAUGUUGAAGAUGUAGCACAUCAU